rnacentral:rRNA from 1 species
CAGCUCUCCGAGUAGUAGGGAUGAUUAUUGGGCCUAAAGCGUCCGUAGCCGGCUCAGCAAGUCCUCCGUUAAAUCCAGCGAUUCAAUCGUUGGACUGCGGGGGAUACUGUUGGGCUAGGGGACGGGAGAGGCCGACGGUAUUCCCGGAGUAGGGGUGAAAUCCUAUAAUUCCGGGAGGACCACCAGUGGCGAAGGCUGUCGGCUAGAACGAGCUCAACGGUGAGGGACGAAAGCUGGGGGAGCGAACCGGAUUAGAUACCCGAGUAGUCC